NNNNNNNNNNNNNNNNNNNNNNNNNNGUUUGGAUUGCAUCUCAUUCAUUGGUUUUUAAUUUCUGCCUGAUUAGCUCUAAAUUCUGCAGUCAUGAAGUCUCUUGAGUCCUUUAUACUUUUUUCUAGAGCCACCAGUAGCUGUAUAAUAGUGCUUCUGAAUUGGCUUUCUGACAUUGAAUUGUAAUCCAGAUUUUGUAACUCUGUGGGAGAGAGGACUGUUUCUGAUUCUUUCUUUUGAGGUGAGGUUUUCCUUCUAGUCAUUUUGCUCAGUGCAGAGUGGCCAAAAGCAAGUUGUAUUGGGAAAAAGAGAAAAAGAGAGGAGAGAAAGAAGGAAAGAAAAGAGAAAGAGAAAAAAAAAGGGAAGAAAAAGAAAAAAAAACGAAAAAAAAAAAAAAAGAAGAAAAAGAGAAAGAAAAAGAAAGGAGAAAAAAAGGGGGUGGGGGAAGGAAACAAAUCAAAAAGCAAAACAAAACAAAAACAAAAACAAAAACAAAAACAAACAAACAAAAAAAGAACCACCGGGGAGUAUCUUCUGAUUCUGUGUACUUUAAGUCCCUUGGCUUCUCCUGGAAGUUGUCCGUCUAGCUGGUGUUCUGGGGGAGGGGCCUGCUGUGCUGAUUUUCAGGUGUUAGCAGUUGGGGGAGCUGCUGUGCCCCUGCCUGGUGCAGGGCUCGGUGGGGGUUGUUUACCCCGUGAGGCCGCAGGAGGAACAGCCCCAGUGGGGGGGCAGCUCUGGAAACCUGGAUUCAGCUCCGGCAGGAACUCCGUCUGCAGGGCCUGGAGGCUCCGGGGCGGGGCCGCUGAUCUGCUCAGCUGGGGCAGGAGCGUCCUUGCGGUCCUGGGCCCUCCCAGCCUCUGCCUGUCCCCGGGGAGGCCGGAUCCUGGGCUGUGUCCCGGCGCCCUGUGCUCCGGAGCCUGCGCUGGUGGAUUCGCGCUCCCGGGCCGCGCAACCCCCUCCGCGGAGCUGCCGCCCGAGCCCCUCCGAGCUGCUCCUGGAACCGCGCAGCCCCCUCCGCACGGAGCCUCUUCUUCUGCCCGAGCCCCUCCGAGCUGCUCCCGGGGCCGCGCAGCCCCCUCC
rnacentral:lncRNA from 12 species